UCGGGGGGCAGGAGGGGUCUAUUUAAGCACCCGUGAAAGGCAAAAGUUUUGUCAACAACUUGGCAGUGUAGAGAAAGCCUAAGAAUUGAUGCCAUGUCCUGGAGAGUGCCUCUUUCUCUUCUACGGAAUCCACAGUCAAAAAAGAAAUCUCCAUCAACAAGAAACCAGCAGAUGUCAGCAGAGGCUAGAUAUUUAGGGCCAGAAGCUCUAAAGAGCUCAGCACUCACAAUCAGGAGCCAGACGUUCAAAGGAGCUCAAGCUCCCAUUUCAGCAUCAAGCAUCCUGUGAUGUGGGGAAGUAUCUUGAUCCAUUUUACAGAUGGGGAAUGGAGUCAGAGAGAUUAAGACCCUGAUUCAGGAAGGUACUUAAGCAUUUGCGUACGAGUGGUUGCUGCCAGACAAGGAAUGAGUGACUAAGCCAGUAACUGAACCCAAAGUUUCUUAAGUCACAGGGCAGCCACAACAAUGAAGUCUGUUGUCGCCAGUCUGAGCUGGUUCAGAACACAUGCAUGUGUGCUUUUUAUACACACUAACCACAGGAAGCAAGUCUGCACACAUCUGCAAGAGUCCCAUGCAAACGAAAGAAACAUUCCAGAAGAGAUCAGCCACAAGAGUGCAACAAUGAAAUUCAGUAUUUUACCAAAUGAAAUCCUACUGCCUCCUAAAUCUCCACCUGCGUCACAGAACUUUACUGGGAAAGAGGGCCAUUACAUAUCAAGAUUUCUCCAGUUCA